rnacentral:lncRNA from 1 species
CCAGAUCUCAACCUUCUUAAAUCCUUGUUUCCAGAUCCAGAUCCAGAUCUAGACUAAGGUGGAGUGUCUCGAUCCCAACCUUCUUUCAUGAUUAUGUAUACUCCUAUAUGUUGGAGUUAGGUUUGAUUAGACCCUGAUUGGGAGUUAGGUUGAUAGGACAUGGUAUUGCUAGGAUGAUAGAUGAAUGGAUCAUGAUGCAUAAGAACCCUCAUACUGAUAAAUGGGACUUGAUGACUGAAUUGAAUUGUUGUGGCGAUGAUUGAUUGGUAGUUGAUUCUUGUAUGUUUGGAUGUGUUGUCCCAUGUGUUGUUGUGAUUGAAGUGAGGAUGCUAGAGAGAAAUAAAUGCUAGGAUGAUAGAUGAGUAAUGAUUAUAAAAGUUAUUGAAGUAGAACUUGAAUGCGAUGUGUAUUGUGUGUGACACCGAUAACGGGUGGCGUCUAGUGAUUGAGUCCCAAGUACAAGUAUGAAUGAAAAAGGAAAGUAAAUGAGAAUGGGAAGGGAUAAGUGAAAAUGAUAAGGAAGUGAAAGGAUAAGUAAAAGUAUGAGAGAAUGAUGUUAAGGUUAAGCAUGGGUGGGAAAGCAUAUAGAGUCUAAGGAAAGUAUGUGUGGCAGUAGUUCACGCUAGGUAUCCAUAGGAGAUGUGGCCAAUCCACAUGACUAUGGAAGCACCCAUAGGAGAUGUGGCCAAUCCACAAGAAUAUGGGGUAGAAGCCUAGUUGGGGCUACCCACUGUUGAAAAGGACGAAAAGAUGAAAAGGAUGUGCAUUGUAGGGUUUUUAGCUCAUGGUCGGGUAACGGGGAGUUAAAGGUGUCAUAGGAUCGAGUCGGAAUGGUAAGAUGAGUCGGUUAGGUCUAGGGUUUGACGUGUGUGGCAAUGAGUGAGAUCAUUGUAUUGAUUGAUCACUAGGUUGUUAAAAAUGAAUGGAAGUGAAUGUGGAAAAUUAUAGAUGACGUUAGGAAAUGAUAAAAUGCAUUAACUGAUUGUAGU